CCUACGGGGGGCAGCAGUGGGGGAUAUUGCACAAUGGGGGAAACCCUGAUGCAGCGACGCCGCGUGGGUGAAGAAGUAUUUCGGUAUGUAAAGCCCUAUCAGCAGGGAAGAAGAAAUGACGGUACCUGAGUAAGAAGCACCGGCUAUAGACGUGCCAGCAGCCGCGGUAAUACGUAGGGUGCAAGCGUUCUCCGGAUGUAGUGGGUGUAAAGGGAGCGCAGGCGGCACGGCAAGCCUGAUGUGAAAGCCCGCGGCCUAACCGCGGAACUGCAUUGGGAACUGCCGGGCUGGAGUGCCGGAGAGGUAGGCGGAAUUCCUAGUGUAGCGGUGAAAUGCGUAGAUAUUAGGAGGAACACCAGUGGCGAAGGCGGCUUACUGGACGGUGACUGACGCUGAGGCUCGAAAGCGUGGGGAGCGAACAGGAUUAGAUACCCGUGUAGUC
rnacentral:rRNA from 1 species